rnacentral:tRNA from 1 species
AUCAGUAUGGCAGAUUAGUGCAAUGAACUUAAGAUUCAUAUAUAAAUUGUUAUCAUUUUGCUGAAA